rnacentral:lncRNA from 1 species
AUUUUCUCUCCACGGCAAACCAAUCCAACCGUCAAAGUAUCUUCCUGCCAAUCAAUCUCAGCCGUUGCAUUACUAGUCCCCCUCAAUAAAUAAACCCAAGUAUUGUUCCAUUUGUAUUAAAUGGUCUCUGUUUCAUUUCCCGCGGCUCUACUUCAUUCUCACGCCCGAUCUAUGUUAUUUCUCUUCAUCUGUUUUGGGAAUACUGUAGAUCGUGAAACGAUCUAUAAUUUGAUUAUGGAUUUGAAUAUGUUCGUUCAGGGUUUCGAUCAACGGAGAACUUUCAUACAUCGCCUAAGAUGUAUGAUUUUAGAUUGGAUUUGGUGAAGGUCUAACGGAUUGAUGAAGGUAAUUUUCACAUCUUACAAUAAUUGUUUGAUUUCUCAAUCAGGGCAUGUUUGGGAUAGCUUAUUUCUGAGAAAGAAGCUUAAAAACUUGCUUCUUGCUUACUUUUCCUUGACAGUACAUCUUAGAGAUGAUCUAAGACAUUCAUUAUUUGAAAUUGAUUUGUCGUUUUUUUAAAGUUGAGGUUAAGUUCUUUACACCGUGUUUUUCAAACAUUGUUUAUAAUUUCUCUACAGUACUGAGGUAGAUUCCUGCCCUGUAUGAUCAUUUUCUUACACUUUGUUCUUGCUAUGUAGGUUCAUUUUCCUGAUGCAAUUGACUGAUAUUUUCCGGUUGGAAAUGAUUUUUCGCCGAAGAAUUAAAGAUCGAGUAAAUGCAUUUCUACUGAUCUUGUCUGCAUAAGAUUCUUGUGGUAUCAUGAUUGGUAUGGUUGUUUGUUAUGCUGUAUGAGCUAUGUUCCUUUUGACAUGUUGAAAGCUAUGACGAAUAUGAGCAUAGGAUGAGAAGUUACUGAGAGAUUACAGAGAUGAAUAGCUGAAUGUGGUGUUUGUCUUAUGGACCAUUGCCAUGAUGGGUGCGCUCUCAUGGCAGGUCGAAAGAUCUCAAUAAAAAUAUCAUUUUUUGUUUAGGGGGGAGAUGGUACGGGGUUUUGCCCGACUCUCCCUUCUGUGUGCGGCCUCCUUUUCCUUUGCUGCCUUUAUUUUUUUGUCCUCGACCUGUCUUAUGUUGAAAAAUUUCUAUUCUGGUAUGGCAGUUGAGGGAAGGUUUAGUGCGUCAACUGGACAACCAACACACUUCUUUCCUCUAUUCCCCUAAUCCUUUUAAUCAAACGCGUUCAGUUUAGUCCACAAAAUCUAGAUGCGAUUAUAGAUUCUUGUUUUGAUGAAAAUGGAACAUAAAAUAUUCCCGUGAAAGUCAAGACUGCAAGCUUUGCCAAGGGAUUGGGUCUACUGAAGCAUAAUUUUCCUAAGAGGUACAUAAUAGAAUACUUUCAAUUUCUCUCUUAUAUUAAGUUCUACAGACAUAUUUAGUUCGACCAUGUGCUACAUGUCACUUGACAAUUUGUAAUUUAUGAGCUAUCUUGAUUAAUCAGUAAUGUUCAUACAUCAGCACACGUUAUUUAUAACAUUAACGUAUCAUACCUAGCUUCUAGCAUAUUGACUACAGAGUGUAAUAAGAAAGUAAUUGCAUGCAGCCCCCCAGGGCACUUCUCCACUGACAAAGGACGGACGCUGUCAAAUCUGGCAGAGCAGAGGUAGUGAGUUCGAAACAUGGGGCUCUUGGAAGGCAAGAAUUUAUUCUUGGAAGGCAAGGGAACAUUUGGAAGGCAAGGAUUUAUUCUUGGAAGGCAAGUGGGAACUUGGAAGGCAAGGAUUAUUCUUGGAAGGCAAGGUGCAACUUGAAUUGGCUUGCUUGGCACUUUGUCAGACCAGGUGGGGAGCGCUCGGACCCUGGCCAGUUGGAGGCACAUCAUGCGAUUAACCGGACUGUGUGAAGAGGGGCUGGAUCACAGACCCAAGGAUUAGUCUAGAAUAGGACACCUUGUAAAAAAAAAAAAAAAAAAAAAAAGUAAUUGCAUGCAAUUUCGUACCUGUUUGAUGGCAGUUAUUUGAGAUAUUGAACCGUGACUUUUGAGGAAAAUGUGUAGCUAUAAAGGAGAAGUUUUGGUUUACGUGCACAGUAUAGUAGAGAAUGAACGUGUAGAAAAAUCAGUUUUUAAAUAAUGAUUUUCAAAUAGAAGUUGGUGUUUAAUCAUUCCUACUGAUGUAGUAACAGUUUGUACUUAUGAUUAACAUCAUUAAUAAUUAAUCUAUGAGCAUGAAUCCGGACUUGGGUUUCCAUGUCAAACAACCAACCAACUUGUUUAAGUCGUCGUCCAAGCCCAUAUAAGUUUGAUUAGUGUUUAGCCCCUCUUCGGUGGGGAUUAAAAUCAGACUUUUAAUAGAUAUUAAUAGAAGUUCUGAAAUGUGUGGUUGAAAAGUUACUGAUCUCAUGAAUUAAAUAUAAAGUUAAAAUUAAUCGUUUAUUUUGAUUUAAUUAAAAUAUGAAACGGGAAUAAUGUUUAAAUAAUGUUGGAUAUUGCUCGUAAUGUCUAAUAUCUUGUUAGAUGUUUCUGUUUGUGGAUGCCAAUCUUGAGCUUUAAACUAUUCAAAAUGUUGGUAUGAUUUCUUUGGGUCUAGCACCAUAUUGAAUCUUUGCUCUUCAUCUGGAAAGAUAAUUGAGGCAAGAGGAGUAUCGAAGUCCUUAUUAUGUUGUUUCUAUUCAUAUAUUGUGAGAUUUUAGUCUUAACAAGGCAACACUAAGUAAUAUAAUUUUUUACCCCUCAAGCUAGCUUCUAAUAGCAACUGUAAAAUUAUGACUGUGUGUCAAUACAAAGCAAGAUUUGUCACAAGCAAAUAUAAUUUCGUUUUAUUUACUGCCUUGAUUCUUUCAAAUUCUAAAAGAAAUGUGAUGUUUAAAAUUAUCAAUUCUGCUUGGCAAUUGAAUUCAACAUUUGAUACAGAAUAUUUUUAACAUUUGUUAAAUUUAUUUAACAGUUAUCUCAUUUUGCCGUCUAUUGCAUAAUUAUGCUUUUGAAGCAGAGUUUAUUUAACAUUUAUCCUGUUAUAUAGACAUAUCUGGCCUCGAUACUCUUCCUGUAAAUGUGAUGAAAGUUGUAAAAUUCUCAAAGGCCAUCUUGUUUGAAUUAGUUGAGGGUUUAGAUGUUCUAGUCUUCUAGAUAAUUGUUACUUGGUGAGCAAGGGUGUCAUCGGGUUGACCAAGGCUACAUGAUGGUUACCAUUGCUACUGGUUGCUGGUAAUAAUGAGUCUCCUGAAAGUGACUAUGCUUGAUGGCCAUUUUCAAUCACUCUUUGAUAAAUGUUGCUGCUGCUAUUAGUGCAUUAAUUGCUGCUGCUGCUAGCUGUUAUUGUGCCAUAUACAGUCACUAGUUGUCAUUGAUUGCUGCUGCCUCUUCUGCUGCUGUUGCUACUGUUUCUUGGAUAUGCUGAAAGUAUUAGGCUUGGCAUUUCAGAUUGUUGCCUUUCCCUGGUACAAUCGCUCGCUGAUAUUGAUGUUGCUGCUGCUAGGACUUGCUCCCUUGAUGAUCAGAGUUUCUGCUUCUGUCGGGUUUUACAUGCAUGUAAUUCCUACUGCUGUGGGUGCUGCUUACUCUUUCCUCUUGUUUAUCCUGAAGUUAAAACUGCUUUCUGCUAUUUGUUUUGAGGUGAAGAAUAAAAAUACGUCCCCUCCCAAUGAAUACUGUUUGUUCCAAUUUAGCUCUGGUUCCUGCAUCAAUUGCCAUUUCUUACUGUUGGAAUCCUGGCGGGCGGUAAAGUAAAUUAAUUACAAGUUUUUGUCUUUGCAGAGGGAAGUGUCAUUAUGCAGUUCAGAACACACACUAUAUUUAUCUAUUUUUCAUGAAUUUGAGUCGAGCAAGAAAAUUGUGCGCUGAGUUAGCCCCCGUUUGGCCCCCAUUAUUUGGAUUUAUAAUGGGGGAACAGUGUUUAUUUGAAGAUUGUGUGGUUAAAAUAUUUUCGAUUUGAGUGCAAAAAUAUUUUAUUGAAGAUUGUGUGGUUGAAAAUAGAAGAGAAAAAAUUAAAUUAAAUUGAAGAGUUUUAAAGGGGGUCAAACUGUGUUUAGUUUACUUGUUUUGUUUUCAUUUUGGAAUUGCUAGUCUGUUUUGAUUAGAUAUCUCAUGAUGAUGGUUGUCUUGGCAUAUUUCGAUAUACCAAUUGUAUAACCUGAAUCUCUUUGCAGUUUACACCUAAAACGUGUUUAUUUGGUGGUUCAAAAUAAGCUUUCUUUUGGAAAAAAAAUAAAAUUACCGAGGGUUGUAUGGAAUUGGGAUUUUGAUGGAUUUUAGAAGAAUAAAAGGUUUUGUUUGAUGUGCAAAAAAGGAAUGAGGGUGGAGCGAAAAUAAAUUUUGUUGGAUGUUGAAUUAUCUAAAACAUGUUUUACUAAGAAUUGUUAAUUAAAUGUGUAUGAUUGGUAUAAUUUUUUUAUUUAGAAAAAUAUUGUAAUUUUUGGAUAUUUUGGUGUUCGUUUAGUUUUAUUUUUUUUAUGAAAAUUGUCUAUUAAAGGGAUAUAAUUUGUUGCAAUUACGGAUAGAAUUUGUUUCAAUUGGAAAAAAAAAAUAAUAAUAAAUUUCAAAGACCAAAAAUCAUCCUUCCCAAUUCUUGAAAAAGGUGGAAAAUGAGGGUUAGGAAAAUCAAUAGUCAAGAAAAUUAGUCCAAUUAAUCAUGCAAAAAGGUGGAAUAUAGAUUUUAAUAUUCUGUUUCUAUAGAAAAUUUGUGCAAUUGAGUGUGCUUAAAUUUGAGUUAG